GUAGAAUAUAUGAGCACCGCAGUUUAAAUCAUCAAACAAUAGAUUCACGAAACAAGUGAAAAACUCGAGAAAUAAAACUGCUUUUAAUGAAGACUGUGAGAAAGUUAAACUUUAUAAACCGCGUUAUGAGACGAGAUGAUGAGAGACUGAAUCUUUACCUCAGAGGAACAUUUAUUUCUUUGUUCUUUAAUGUAAAUUUCUCCUCGACCGUUCUCCAGACGUGGACAACUAUUCUGAAGACAAUGACAGUUAUUCUUCAGAGCAGGAGGUCAGUGAUGAUGCCGUUCAGGGUCAGUGGAUAUGAACAGAAGUUCAGAUGAGUCUAUAGCGCUUCACUCUACAGCUGUUGAGCAGACGGCUGGGGGGGAUGUCACAUGUGACGGGGAUGUGAACGCAGACAAAUCAGCAGCAAACAUCAGCAAACUCUGCAAGGCCGAGUCUCAGACUCUCAUGUCGUGGAGACGCUGUGUCUUUCGUUAAAAAAAACGGCUGCUUCACGAACGCUUUGGUUAAAAGUGGGGCUAUUCCAACCAUAAAAACUUUACAAGGACAGUCUGGAGCUUCUGAUUUGCAGCCUGGUGGAGAUGUGUUAACAGUGGAUAUGAACAGAUAUUCAGAUGAGUCUACAGCGCUGGACUCUACAGCUGUGGAGCAGACGGCUGGGGGGGAUGUCACAUGUGACGGGGAUGUGAACGCAGACAAAUCAACAGCAAACAUCAGCAAACUCUGCAAGGCCGAGUCUCAGACUCCUAGGCGGCCCCUCGGAAGAAGACGUGGAAGAGGAGACCAUGACCCCGUCAGCAGCUGCGGCAGAAGCGGCCACUGCCAGCCAUCGAACCACCUCCCGAGGGGGAGAAGAUGCAGAUCACACCCCUAGUCCCCGUCACUGUCCCUGGGGAUUGGCUCAAGCGGCAAAUGAUUUGAGUUUCGAGGCAUCCUCUCAACCUUAGUCAGAGGCAGGGAUGCUCCCGUACUGUGGGCCGAGGUCGUCAGCCUGGUUAAGAGUCCGACUCACUAACCAUUGUCACUUACGAUGGUUCGUGGACCCCGUGUCGAGACCGUUCUCCAGACGUGGACAACUAUUCUGAAGACGAUGACAGUUAUUCUUCAGAGCAGGAGGUCAGUGAUGAUGCCGUUCAGGGUCAGUGGAUAUGAACAGAAGUUCAGAUGCGUCUAUAGCGCUUCACUCUACAGCUGUUGAGCAGACGGCUGGGGGGGAUGUCACAUGUGACAGGGAUGUGAACGCAGACAAAUCAGCAGCAAACAUCAGCAAACUCUGCAAGGCCGAAUCUCAGACUCUCAUGUCGUGGAGACGCUGUGUGUUUCGUUGCAAAAAGAAAGACCCUUUGUUUGUCCUGGGUCAAAGAGGACUUUCAAGUUUAGUAUUUUGUGCUCGGACUCUCUGGGCACGUGCAUCUCUACAACCUGUGACACCUGAAGGCUUUUAGUUAUUAUUCUUCAUGAAAGCUGAUUUGAUGCACGUUUGGCUUCUAUCAAUAUAAACUGACAAAUAAAUAACAUUUAUCUUCAUGUAUAAUAUUUUGUAUGCUUUGCAGUAUUGUUAGAGAGCUUUAUACAAUAGUUCAGUGCUUAAAGUUUAAAGGCAUGUUUCCUUCAUAAGUUUCACAUUCAUAGAAUACACACAAACACAUAUGUUUGCUGUUUUUUACCUUAUCCGGGGAAAUUCUUGUAUUCUGCAUAUUUAUUUCAGUUGCAAGAUUGAGAGCUUCACUCGUCUGCUCUUUCGGUCCUUCCUGCGAAUUACGUCUUUGGGGGCGGAAGCACUUAUAGAUAAGUGAAGGACGGGACACGAAAAUGAGUGACUGAAUGCACCGCAUACACAAUAUAACAUUUCUGAGCAUUAAUUUUAUAAUAUGCAAAGAUUAUAUAGGCUAUUGAUCAGUUGGGCAGUCGCUCUAAAAUGUGACCAUUUAGUCUAAAGCCCUGUACAUGCUAAAAUACAAAUACGCACACACAGGCGUUAUUAUUCUGCUACUGUUCAUUUCAUUAGAUUUCAGUGAGUUUUGAGCUUUAUUUAAAAUGUCAUGAUUAACACCUCAGUGAGGAACUACAUUAUCAAUAAUUCUGUCAUCAGUCCUUUUAUAGUCUGGAUAUUUCCCAAUAAUAAUUUUAUAUUUGUUGUCACUGGUUAUUGUCUACAGUUAAUUAGAUAUUUUCACAUAUUUGUGUAAUGUGUGUGUAGGGUGGAGAUGUGUUAACAGUGGAUAAGAACAGAUAUUGAGAUGAAUCUACAGCGCUGGACUCUACAGCUGUUGAGCAGACGGCUGGGGGGAUGUCACAUGUGACGGGGAUGUGAACGCAGACAAAUCAGCAGCAAACAUCGGCAAACUCUGCAAGGUCGAGUCUCAGACUCUCAUGUCGUGGAGACGCUGUGUCUUUCGUUGCGAAAAGAAAGACCCUUUGUUUGCUCUCCCAAAAGAUGACACAACUAAGAAGGAAUGGUUCAAUUUUAUUUACAACACUGUUCCAGGAAAGUACAAACCGAAUGUUCAAGUUUGUGCAGCUCAUUUCCAGACGGCUGCUUCACGAACGCUUUGGUUAAAAGUGGGGCUGUUCCAACCAUUAAAACUUUACAAGGACAGUCUGGCGCUUUCGAUUUGCAGCCUACCGGACGUUCUCAACACUCUUGGUGCUUUUGGAUUUUAGGGGUGGAGAUGUGUUAACAGUGGAUAAGAACAGAUAUUCAGAUGAGUCUACAGCGCUUGACUCUACAGCUGUGGAGCAGACGGCUGGGGGGGAUGUCACAUGUGACAGGGAUGUGAACGCAGACAAAUCAGCAGCAAACAUCGGCAAACUCUGCAAGGCCGAGUCUCAGACAGACUUCUAGGCGGCCCCUCGGAAGAAGACGUGGAAGAGGAGACCAUGACCCCGUCAGCAGCUGCGGCAGAAGCGGCCACUGCUAGCCAUCGACCACCUCCCGAGGGGGAGAUGAUGCAGAUCACACCCCUAGUCCCCGUCACUGUCCCUGGGGAUUGGCUCAAGCGGCAAAUGAUUUGAGUUUCGAGGCCUCCUCUCAACCUUAGUCAGAGGCAGGGAUGCUCCCGUACUGUGGGCCGAGGUCGCCAGCCUGGUUACGAGUCCGACUCACUAACCAUUGUCACUUUCGAUGGUUCGGGGCCCCCGUGUCGAGACCGUUCUCCAGACGUGGACAACUAUUCUGAAGACGAUGACAGUUAUUCUUCAGCAGUGUUGGGGGUAACGCGUUACAAGUAACGUGCGUUACGUAAUAACAUUACUUUUCUGGAGUAACGAGUAAAGGAAAAGGCCGGGAGGCGUGCUGCCCGAUCGUAAAACCUUUGCAAGCUUUUUGGAUAAUGCAUAUAUGGAAAUGGAGACCGAACUAAAGAAAACUUUUGCUGACUUGGAAUAUGUUUCAACCACUGCAGAUCUAUGGACUGCUCAGAAUAAAAGUUUUCUGGGAAUUACAGUACACUGGAUAGAUCCUGCUACUCUGCAUCGGAAAAAAAGCUGCAAUCGCCUGCAGACGAUUUCGUGGGAGACACACGUACGAUACCAUCGCAGCGGAGUUAGAGCAAAUUCACAUCUCAUAUGCUCUUUGUGGUAAGAUAACUGCCACGGUCACUGACAAUGGCUCGAACUUUGUCAAAGCUUUCAGAAUGUUUCAAGCUGACGAUGAUAAUGAAACCGAGAAUGAUGAAGACGAGGUCAUAUUUACGGACUUGCACGCAGUUUUACGAGAUGACAUUGAGUCCAGCGAACGGUAUGUUCUCCCUCCACAUCACCGGUGUGCAUCGCACCCCCUUAACCUUAUAUGCUCGAACGACAUAGUUCAAUUUUUGACGCUUUAAAUGUUAAGACCCUGAUAUAACUUAUUUCAUAAUGGCAACAAGUAUUAGACUCAUUAUUACAAUGGAUAGUGAACUCACUUUAUAUAGAUUACUCGACCCACACAAUAAGUACAAAAGUAAAAAACACAUUACUUUCCAUAAUCUGUAAUGUUUAUUGUUCUUUUAUAUAGCAUGCAUAGCUAUGGGAUUAGGAAGUUCUCUGAAUAUAAUAUUAUUAUUCAAUGUAUAGCCUAUGUGUUUUUAAAAGAAAAUGAAGGUGCUUGACUUGUAUAGGCUGUUGUUGAAUAUAUUACGGCUUUAAACACUAGUUCAAUAACAUCUCAGUCAAAAAAAAACACCUGUAAGACCUGAGAGAGAUCAAGCCUCAGCCAGGUAAGAAAAAGUAACUGAAAAGUAACGCAAAAGUAACGUACCAUUACUUUUCAUAAAAAAGCAACUAAGUAACGCAAUUAGUUACUUUUUUGGGAGUAACUAAAUAUUGUAAUACAUUACUUUUAAAAGUAACUUUCCCCAACACUGUUCUUCAGAGCAGGAGGUCAGUGAUGAUGCCGUUCAGGGUCAGGUCAGCACUUCUCAUUAUGUCAAUCAUCACAACAAAAAUCCACUGCAGUUUAUUAUUGUAUUGUAUGUUUCUGUCAGAAUAAAUACUGUCUUGUGUGUUAACAGUGGAUAUGAACAGAAGUUCAGAUGAGUCUACAGCGCUUCACUCUACAGCUGUUGAGCAGACGGCUGGGGGGAUGUCACAUGUGACGGAGAUGUGAACGCAGACAAAUCAGCAGCAAACAUCAGCAAACUCUGCAAGGCCGAGUCUCAGACUCCUAGGCGGCCCCUCGGAAGAAGACGUGGAAGAGGAGACCACGACCCCGUCAGCAGCUGCGGCAGAAGCGGCCACUGCUAGCCAUCGAACGAAUCGAUCUUCCUUUUAUACCCGUAUGUACGGGGCGGAGACUGGCGAGGGCGGGCCAUUGGCCAAUCCCCAUUGGCAUUUUAGUUUUAUCUCGGAGAUGAUAGGUUCUCAGAACACAACACAAUGUCGAGAGACUGACUGAAGGGGAACUGAAGUUAGUUUCCCAAAGAUUCACACUGUUCAUUGGUUCAGUGUAAAGUGGUUUUCCUUUAACAGGUGACAGCAUCUAUUAACAAUCUCCAACUGCGAUAAUACAGACUUUUCCAAAUGCUGAAUAAUCUGACAAACCUGUUUGUUUAAUUUGUCUCAAUCUACCAUGAACAUAUGCAAGACGUUUAUGAUCAACCAUUGAAAUUUCAUCAAUUAUAAAUAGUUGCAGUUUUCCACGUUUUGCUCUCAAGGAAUAUUUUUUUUUCAUUUCAAAGUGGUACGUAUGGCAGUGAAGCGUUUGUUCCGAUAGAGAAAGUGCUGUGGAUUGUAGCAGCAUUUAUAUUAUAAGCAGCAACACCAGUGGGCGCUGUUAACAGCACAUGUGUCUCAUCUGGAUUCUCUGACAGCUUUGAAAGGAUGCGACUGCUUUCAUUAUUGUCUGCAUGUUCAGCUUGAAUGCUACCAGUCAGAAUAAAAACAACUUUUGUUGA